CCCGUCACAUCACGAAAGUGAGCUGUACUAGAAGUCGUCACGCUAACCGCAAGGAGGCAGACGCCCAAGGUAUGACUCAUGAUUGGGGUG
rnacentral:rRNA from 1 species